rnacentral:rRNA from 1 species
UCCAGACUCCUACGGGAGGCAGCAGUGGGGAAUAUUGGGCGAUGGAGGCAACUCUGACCCAGCAACGCCGCGUGAGUGAUGAAGGUCUUCGGAUUGUAAAACUCUUUAAGUGGGGACGAAGAAAGUGACUGUACCCACAGAAUAAGCCACGGCUAACUACGUGCCAGCAGCCGCGGUAAUACGUAGGUGGCAAGCGUUAUCCGGAUUUACUGGGUGUAAAGGGCGUGUAGGCGGGAAAGCAAGUCAGAUGUGAAAACCAUGGGCUCAACCUGUGGCCUGCAUUUGAAACUGUUUUUCUUGAGUACUGGAGAGGCAGACGGAAUUCCUAGUGUAGCGGUGAAAUGCGUAGAUAUUAGGAGGAACACCAGUGGCGAAGGCGGUCUGCUGGACAGCAACUGACGCUGAGGCGCGAAAGCGUGGGGAGCAAACAGGAUUAGAUACCCGAGUA